rnacentral:rRNA from 1 species
AGUGAACGCUGGCGGUAGGCCUAACACAUGCAAGUCGAACGGCAGCACAGUAAGAGCUUGCUCUUACGGGUGGCGAGUGGCGGACGGGUGAGGCAUACAUCGGAAUCUACUUUUUCGUGGGGGAUAACGUAGGGAAACUUACGCUAAUACCGCAUACGACCUACGGGUGAAAGCAGGGGAUCUUCGGACCUUGCGCGAUUGAAUGAGCCGAUGUCGGAUUAGCUAGUUGGCGGGGUAAAGGCCCACCAAGGCGACGAUCCGUAGCUGAUCUGAGAGGAUGAUCAGCCACACUGGAACUGAGACACGGUCCAGACUCCUACGGGAGGCAGCAGUAGGGAAUAUUGGACAAUGGGCGCAAGCCUGAUCCAGCCAUACCGCGUGAGUGAAGAAGGCCUUCGGGUUGUAAAGCCCUGUUGUUGGGAAAGAAAAGCAGCAGGUUAAUACCCCGCUGUUCUGACGGUACCCAAAGAAUAAGCACCGGCUAACUUCGUG